GAGGACGGAUUGUGAAGAUACCCUUAACAAUUGAUCUUCUUUUAUGUGUACAAAAUAUUUUGUUGUAUCUUUUGGAUACUGUUAGUUUUGAAAUGUUAUGUAUAAAUUGCAGAUUUCAUUUUAAUUUGUCCCCAAUAACUACCUUGUGUAGUUUAUUUCUAGCAAUCCUGACUCCCGAGGGGCCUUUUUCCCCAAUUUUAUUUGGGUUGGGAACUCUCACUGGAGUGAUGGCUAAGAGUAUGUUACCUUGGAAGGAUGAAUUACCAAGAAAACAAAAAUAGGAAAAGGAGAUUUUUACCCAAUCAUAGAUGCCAGAUAAGCGCCCACAUGAAUGCAUGGAAAGCAGGGGCGCUGCUUGUAACACCAUAAGAAUUUGAUCUCUUGAUUUUGAGACUGAUGAUGCUGACUUUUUUGUAAAUUAGAAGUGCAAAUUUCCAAGCAAUUAUAUCAUAGUGGAAACAUGUCCUGAGCCUUCUUGUGUGAGUUUAAGUUCAAUUUCAUAGUCUUUUUUUUUUUUU
rnacentral:misc_RNA from 1 species